rnacentral:rRNA from 1 species
UACAGAGGGUGCAAGCGUUGUUCGGAAUUAUUGGGCGUAAAGCGCGUGUAGGCGGCUUUGCAAGUCGGGUGUGAAAGCCCUCAGCUCAACUGAGGAAGUGCGCCCGAAACUGCAGAGCUUGAGUGCCGGAGAGGGUGGCGGAAUUCCCCAAGUAGAGGUGAAAUUCGUAGAUAUGGGGAGGAACACCAGUGGCGAAGGCGGCGACCUGGACGGACACUGACGCUGAGACGCGAAAGCGUGGGGAGCAAACAGG